rnacentral:rRNA from 1 species
GACGAACGCUGGCGGUAUGCCUAAUACAUGCAAGUCGAACGCUGAAGCACUCUGCUUGCAGAGUGUAGAUGUGUGGCGAACGGGUGAGUAACACGUGGGGAACCUGCCCAUAAGAGGGGGAUAACAUCCGGAAACGGGUGCUAAUACCGCAUAGGUGAUCAUAGCGCAUGCUUAGAUCAUUAAAGAUGGCUUCGGCUAUCGCUUAUGGAUGGCCCCGCGGCGUAUUAGCUAGUUGGUGAGGUAAUGGCUCACCAAGGCUGUGAUACGUAGCCGACCUGAGAGGGUGAUCGGCCACACUGGAACUGAGACACGGUCCAGACUCCUACGGGAGGCAGCAGUAGGGAAUCUUCCACAAUGGGCGAAAGCCUGAUGGAGCAAUACCGCGUGAGUGAAGAAGGUCUUCGGAUCGUAAAGCUCUGUUGUUAGAGAAGAAUAAGAGGUGUAGUAACUGGCACCUCCUUGACGGUAUCUAACCAGAAAGUCACGGCUAACUACGUGCCAGCAGCCGCGGUAAUACGUAGGUGACAAGCGUUGUCCGGAUUUAUUGGGCGUAAAGCGAGCGCAGGCGGUCUUUUAAGUCUGAUGUGAAAGCCCACGGCUCAACCGUGGAGGGUCAUUGGAAACUGGAAGACUUGAAUGCAGAAGAGGAAAGUGGAAUUCCAUGUGUAGCGGUGAAAUGCGUAGAUAUAUGGAGGAACACCAGUGGCGAAGGCGACUUUCUGGUCUGUAAUUGACGCUGAGGCUCGAAAGCGUGGGGAGCGAACAGGAUUAGAUACCCUGGUAGUCCACGCCGUAAACGAUGAGUGCUAAGUGUUGGAGGGUUUCCGCCCUUCAGUGCUGGAGCUAACGCAUUAAGCACUCCGCCUGGGGAGUACGG